rnacentral:rRNA from 1 species
UAAUACGUAGGGUGCGAGCGUUAAUCGGAAUUACUGGGCGUAAAGGGUGCGCAGGCGGUUUCACAAGCUAGAUGUGAAAGCCCCGGGCUUAACCUGGGAAUUGCAUUUAGGACUGUGGAGCUAGAGUGCGGCAGAGGGAGGUGGAAUUCCACGUGUAGCAGUGAAAUGCGUAGAGAUGUGGAGGAACACCGAUGGCGAAGGCAGCCUCCUGGGCCGACACUGACGCUCAUGCACGAAAGCGUGGGGAGCAAACAGGAUUAGAUACCCUGGUAGUCCACGCCCUAAACGAUGUCAACUGGUUGUUGGGGAAGGUAACUUCCUUAGUAACGAAGCUAACGCGUGAAGUUGACCGCCUGGGGAGUACGGCCGCAAGGUUAAAACUUAAAUGAAUUGACGG